rnacentral:lncRNA from 1 species
GUUUAAGCUGUCAAGCACACGUACUCAUGAGAUAAAUCUAACGAGUGUAAAUCGUUAAUGCUAGUAUUAUUAAAUGAAGAUAAUAUUUUGACAAAUCAUCAAAAAAAAUCCUAUGAAAAAAGAAAAUUCAAUGUCUAACUUUGCAGCGGAGGUCGAUAAUUCAAUUUAGUCUUUGCCUUGGGUCCAAACUGAUUUUCAUGAAGCCACAUAUCGGAUUGGGCUUGUUCACCAGCUAUAUUAGUAAUAUUAGAUAUAUUUCCAUUGAUAAUAUUCAGUGCUGGCUAGGAAUCUUUCAAUUUUACUUGCCUGAUCACAUUGCCUUACAAACCACGUGUGUCGUCCUCGUGUAUGGGGUCUACAUGUACUAUCAACGGGAGUCACAUUUUCAAAAAUAAUUAAAAUGUCUUUUAAAAACAGCAAAUAUUCACAUAAAAUUGUUAAAAGUCUCAUAAUAAUCUUUUUAUGGUCACUCCACCAUGUAACGAUAUCGCCUCAUCGUUAUUAUAGGUUUUGGGUUGAGACUAGCUCAAGCAAUAAAAACACGUCUUACGUUGACGAC